AUUUCGUUGUCCCAAUCCAAAAUUCCUCCUUCUUCUUCGCUGUAACGCUUUACCUAAAAUCGGAGAAGAAACAAUGCAACCGUCGAAAGGGCGGCGUAAAGUUGGCUCCACACCAGCCGGAGCCGGUAUUGACUCGGCGGAGAAGCUCGACGAGCUCUUGAUUUCGUCUGCGAUUUGUAACGGCGAAGAUUUAGGACCUUUUGUUCGGAAAACGUUCGGUACUGGGAAACCAGAGACUCUUCUUCACCAUCUCAAGUUUUUCGCACGAUCUAAGGAAUCAGAGAUCGAAGAGGUAUGUAAAGCUCACUAUCAAGACUUUAUCCACGCUGUAGACGAUCUUAAAUCGCUUCUCUCAGAUGUUGAAUCGCUUAAAUCUGCGCUGUCCGAUUCCAACUCUAAACUCCAAUCUGUUGCGGCGCCGCUUCUUUCGUCUCUUGAUUCGCUUGUUGAGGCUCAGACUGUGUCUAAGAACGUCGAUCUGGCGAUUGGAGCCGUGACUCACUGUGUUCGUGUUAUGGAGCUUGUUUCUCGAGCUAAUCAGCAUCUCCAGAGCGGUAAUUUUUACAUGGCGCUCAAGUGUGUGGACACGAUUGAGAGUGAUUUCAUGGAGAAAACUCCUUCGUCAACGCUGAAACGGAUGCUGGAGAAUAGGAUUCCGGCUAUUCGAUCUUAUGUGGAGAGGAAAGUUAAUAAGGAGUUUGGAGAUUGGUUGGUUGAGAUCCGUGUGGUGAGUCGAAAUUUGGGUCAGUUGGCUAUUGGUGAAGCUUCUGCGGCUCGUCAGCGAGAGGAAGAGCUCAGGAUCAAGCAGAGGCAAGCGGAGGAGCAGAGCAGACUCAGUUCACGUGAUUGCGUUUAUGCCCUAAACGAAGAAGAGGACGAUGAAUUUGGCUCUGGCCCUGAAAGCAGCGACGCUGGUAGUUCCGGGGGUGGAUUGCUAGGCUUUGACUUGACUCCACUUUAUAGAGCUUAUCACAUUCAUCAGACACUAUCUCUUGAAGAUAGUUUUAAGAAGUACUAUUUUGAUAAUAGGGAUCUUCAGCUUACCUCUGACUUCCAGGUAUCUACUAUGACUCCGUUUCUCGAGUCUCACCAGACGUUUUUUGCACAGAUUGCUGGGUUUUUCAUUGUAGAGGAUAGAGUAUUAAGAACUGGUGGAGGUUUGAUUUCUAAACAGCAAGUGGAGAGUUUGUGGGAUACUGCUGUGACUAAGAUGUGUACUGUGUUGGAGGAUCAGUUCUCUAGGAUGCAGACGGCUAAUCAUCUCUUGCUGAUUAAGGAUUAUGUGAGCUUGUUAGGGGUGAGUCUACGCAGGUAUGGCUAUGCUGUUGAUUCCCUUCUCGAAGUAUUAAGCAAGCAUAGGGACAAGUAUCAUGAGCUGUUACUAUCUGAUUGCCGUAAACAGAUCACCGAAGCAUUGUCAGCAGAUAAGUUUGAACAGAUGUUGAUGAAGAAAGAAUAUGAGUAUUCCAUGAAUGUGCUCUCUUUCCAGUUACAAACGUCAGAUAUAGUACCAGCAUUUCCUUACAUUGCUCCAUUUUCAACCACCGUCCCAGAUUGUUGCCGGAUUGUGCGUUCUUUUAUUGAGGAUUCGGUUAGUUUCAUGUCUCAUGGAGGUCAGCUUGAUUUCUACGAUGUCGUGAAGAAGUAUCUGGAUAGACUUCUAAGCGACGUUCUCGACGAGGCUCUGUUGAAGCUGAUUAACUCGUCGGUUCAUGGAGUUUCUCAGGCAAUGCAAGUUGCAGCAAACAUGGCCGUGUUUGAGCGAGCUUGCGAUUUCUUCUUCCGUCACGCCGCACAGCUUUCAGGAGUUCCUUUGAGAAUGGCAGAAAGAGGUAGGAGGCAUUUUCCAUUGACCAGAUCUCAAAACGCUGCAGAAGAUACCCUCUCAGGAAUGCUUAAGAAGAAGAUAGAUGGUUUCAUGACGUUGAUAGAGAAUGUCAGUUGGAUAAGCGACGAUAUUCCACAAGGUGGGAAUGAGUACAUGAACGAAGUGCUGAUCUACUUGGAAACUUUGGUUUCCACCGCGCAACAGAUAUUACCUGCUAAAGUUUUGAAAAGGGUUUUGCGCGAUGUCCUUGCCCACAUUUCUGAGCAAAUUGUUGGAACACUAUGCGGGGAUCUAGUAAAAAGAUUGAGCAUGGCUGCAAUCAAAGGACUUGAUGUGGAUAUUCAGUUGCUGGAAUCAUUUACAGAGAAUCUAACUCCAUUGCUGACCGACAAAGAAGCCAGAGAGAUGAAAAAAGCAUUCAUUGAGAUAAGACAGAUGAUCAAUUUGUUUCUGAGUAGUCACCCUGAGAAUUUUGUUAACCCGGUGAUUAGAGAAAGAAGCUACAAUGCUUUGGAUUACCGGAAAGUUGCUACGGUUUCAGAGAAAUUCAGAGAUCCAUCAGAUAGUAUUUUCGGGACUUUUGGAACAAGAGGGUCGAGGCAAAACCCGAAGAACAAAUCGUUAGAUGCGUUGAUAAAGAGAUUGAAAGAUGUGAGCUGAUGAUGGAUCCGAGCACAAAUCAAAAGCGCUCAGAUUACCGCAGCAGUAAAGGGUCGGAUUGGUUCUAUGGUGAGUUGGUGACCAAUAAUCAAAAGGUUAAACCAAAGCGUGAUAUUGCAACCGUCCAUCUAAUCGAAUCGCAUGGUCUCUUCAUCGGACGCGCUGGUUUACACUGUCCACAAGACACAAACACCUAGCAAC